GAAAAGAAGAACGGCGAUACAGGGAGAAGAAGAACGGUGGAAGAAGGAUGGCUGGCCUCCUCGGCGCAUGCCAUACGAUCUAAAGGUUCAUAUCAGACAAGGCAACCACAACAGUACAACCAUGAUAAUCUCAUGGGUGACAACAGUCAGAACCUGGAUCGAGCACUGUGUUUUACGGGACUUCAGAAGAUAAUCUCAAUUGUUCUGCAAAGGGAAAGCAUUCGCGGUAUACGUUCUACAAAUAUACCUCGGGAUACAUUCAUCAUUGUACAAUCAAGAACCUGAAGUUUGACACAAAGUAUUACUAAGCCAUUGGAACUGAAGAGACGCUGAAAAAGAUUUGGUUUAGGACCCCUCCGAAAAGUGGCCUAGAUGUUCCAUAUACAUUU